rnacentral:rRNA from 1 species
GACAACGCUGGCGGCGUGCCUGACACAUGCAAGUCGGACGGUUCUUGCACCUUCAAGCUUGCUUGCUGGUGCAGGGAUAGUGGCGGACGGGUGAGUAACGCGUGAACAUCUACCCAUUGGAGGGGGACAACCCGUCGAAAGGCGGGCUAAUACCGCGUAAGCCGUGAGGUGAGAGGCUGCCUAUUGGUGGCCGCCGAUGGAUGGGUUCGCGUCCUAUCAGCUGGUUGGUGGGGUAACGGCCUACCAAGGCGAAGACGGGUAGCCGGUCUGAGAGGAUGGCCGGCCACACUGGAACUGAGACACGGUCCAGACUCCUACGGGAGGCAGCAGUGGGGAAUAUUGGGCAAUGGGGGAGACCCUGACCCAGCGACGCCGCGUGAGGGAUGAAGGUUUUCGGAUCGUAAACCUCUGUUGUACGGGAAGAAGGAUGUGACGGUACCGUACGAGAAAGCCCCGGCAAACUACGUG